AGCUCUACCUUAGUUUUCUUAUUACACCAAACAAAAUACUAGACUUAAGAGCUAUUCAAAUAAGGUACAGCUUAUUUGAAAAAGGCUACAACCUACAAUACUGGGUUAAUAUUGAUUUAUCAACAAAGUGGGCCUAAGAGCAGCCAUCUUAUAGAAAGCGUUAAAGCUCAACUAUCUCCUCUCCUAAAUUCCAAAAAUUAUCUUCAACCCUUCAUUAUUACUGAACUAUUUUAUAUAUUUAUAAAAGUUAUCAUGCUAGAACUAGUAACAAGAAUUAGCCCUUCUCCAAAAUGUAUACUUAAGCCAAAAUGGACACCCCAUUGGCAGUUACCGCAAAUGCACCUAUUAUAGUACCUCCCAACUAGACAACUCUAUAACUCUUAGCGUUAACCUGACACCAGAGCAUUACAGGAAAGAUUAAAAGAGAAAGAAGGAACUCGGCAAAUCUCGGUCCCGCCUGUUUACCAAAAACAUCGCCUCUUGACCAAAUAUAAGAGGUCCAGCCUGCCCACUGACAUAGUUUAACGGCCGCGGUACCCUAACCGUGCGAAGGUAGCAUAAUCACUUGUUCUUUAAAUAAGGACUUGUAUCAACGGCAUCACGAGGACUAUACUGUCUCCUUUCUCCAAUCAGUGAAACUGAUCUCCCCGUGAAGAAGCGGGGAUUAACCUAUAAGACGAGAAGACCCCAUGGAGCUUAAAGCCCACAAACACCUCUACGCACUUAAACCAAUUUAGCCUAAGAGACCUGUAAGCCGGCUUUAGGUUGGGGGGACCGCGGAGAAAAACCUAACCUCCACGACAAACGGGCAAACGCCCUUAUCCAUGAAUUACAAUUCUAAGAAUCAAUAAACUGAUGUUUAAUGACCCGAUUAUUCGAUCAACGAACCAAGUUACCCUGGGGAUAACAGCGCAAUCUACUUUAAGAGCUCAUAUCGACAAGUAGGUUUACGACCUCGAUGUUGGAUCAGGGUAUCCCAGUGGUGUAGCCGCUACUAAAGGUUCGUUUGUUCAACGAUUAAAACCCUACGUGAU
rnacentral:rRNA from 1 species